ensembl:lncRNA
GCACUGACUAGCUCAAAAUGUUUUUAAGCCUCAGCAGAAGAAACAGCCAAUUAAAGGAUUUCAUUUCGAGGUUAAUGGUACACUAUGUGGUGCUAAUUAGUGGUGUGGAGAGUGCUGUUUCUUAACAUCUCGUUCACUCAUAUGACACUAAGCUGUGAAAAGUUGAAGAGAUUAAACGUUGAAAUCGUUUAUGGUGGUGAUAGUGUUAGUGGUGGUGAAUCAGACUAUUUUUGCGUUUGGAAAUCUUGCAUAUAGGCUAGUGAUCCCCAUAGAACACUUUAGUUAUUUUUUUCACUUUAUUGAAGUAUAAUUGAUAAAUAAAAAUUGUACAUAUUUAAGGUGUCCAACUUGAUGUUUUGAUGUACAUGUACAUUGUGAAAUAAUCACCACUAACAAACUAAUUAACAUAUCCAUCACCUCAGACAGUUACCACUUUUUUAGUUCAAUUAUGAUGCAAUCUCUUACACUGAGUUCCUGCUCAGAGUGAACGUCCUUACCAAGCACCAAGACUUAGUUCAAAGAUGGAAUCGUGGCAUAUUCUACCAGGUGGGAGCGCCUCAUUCAAACCGCUGGAGCAAGGUGUUGUUUUUUUCUGCUCCUGCCAUCCAUGUUGCCAGGAGAGAGGACAAGGAGCACAGCCACUGUGAUUGGGAGAAUCCUAGUGAAUUGGGCAGCCCCUCCCUCCCAUAUGAAGAUUAUCCCUGAGCUAACAUCUGUGGCCAAUCCUCCUCUUUUUGCUGAGGAAGACUGGCCCUGAGCUGAUAUCCAUGCCCAUUUUCCUCCACUUUAUAUGAGGGACGCCUACCACAAGAUGGCUUGACAAGUUAUGUGUAAGUCUGCACCCGGGAUCUCAACUGGCGAACUCCAGGCUGUCGAAGCUGAGCGUGUGAACUUAACUGCUGUGCCACCAGGCCAACCAAGAGAUUCAGCAUUUCUAACAAGCUUACAGGUGAUCCCAUUGCUACUGGUGUAGCGACCAAACUUUGAGUAGCAAGACACCAGAGAAAUUGAAGGAGAAAACUUUAUAUCACUGCUGAAAUUCUGUAGACAAAAGAGCUAUGGAAAGUCUCUAAUAAUAAAUUAUUGUUACUGCCUUUGGAUGAUAAUUAUUUGCAUAAAUCUUCAGAAGGUGGUAUAUUUUUUAGGAGGAAGGGAACUCUUUAACUAGCAGGUCUGAAAAUAGGGCUAGUUAAAUAUUUUAUGUAGCAAGUCAUCUUUAAGUCAAGCAUGUAAAUGCUCCACCAUGUCUUAAUUUCAACAUGCAACAGCAUGUAACAAGACUGGAAUCUAUAUCUCUAGCUAUCCUUUAUUUUGUCUUGCUCAUGACAGAAAUACUGCUUUCCACAUCAUUUCAAAUGAUAACUCAGAGCUUAAUGCUAAUGAAGUUGCCAAGUGGUGACCUAAAAGAAGUGAGAGCUUGGCCAGAUGGCUCAAGUCACCGAUUGUAACUGGUUGUCCCAGAUUGAUUAUAUCUAGUGUUUUUAGUCUCUAGCUAUUAAGUGAAUAAUCUUGAAAGUUUUUGAGAAUCUGGUCCAGUUUCCAGCAGUUUGUUAUUAGUGCCACUCAAAUCUGAUUGCAUUUGCUUGACAAUGACUUAAUGGUGGUGGGGAGAGACUAUCUAACUAAGGUUUAUGAAUCUUCCUGGUUAGUGUUCUCUUAGACGAUGCUGACCGCCAGUAUUUUCAUGUCCAAUUUUAUUGCUUUCAUUAUCAGAUGACUUUGCGUCUUUGAGUUUUUGCUUUGAAAAGGUUACAGAUGGUUUCAUUUCACAUAAUGAAUUAAAAAAUGUAUAAUAGAACGUCUCCCACACCAAAAUCUCCUAAGAGGUUGGAUCAACAUCAAUGUAUAUCAAAAAAUAUCUCAUUACAACUGAAAUUCAAACAAAAACUAAGACUUGUCUGCAGAGUGAUUUCUAUUAGAAUUCUUUGAAGAGGCCAAAUAAACAUGAAAAUAAAGAUAAACCAGGAAACAUAAUUUAUCUAAUCUUUCAAAAAUACUCAUAAGCUUCAGUAAGAGAGAAAAUUAAAUCACACGUGGUGGAGGGGUUCUUCUUCCCCAUAAAGUCGUUGUUUGCUGUCAAGAAAUAAAAGGCAGAGAUAAACAGCAUUUUUCUGAAGAAAGAAAUAUUGACAAUGUGACUUGGAAGAGGCUGAUUAAGGUUAAGAGACUAUGGUUUUUAUAAAGACUUUUUUCCUCAUUAUAAAAUAGCUGUUUAUCGUAGAAAAGUUAGAACACGUGAGAAUAUUCAAGUUAAAAAAGUAACCCCCCCUCACCCCAAACACACCAUUGCUAACAUUUUGGGUUUCAAUCUUUUGCCAUCUACAGAUACAGUAAAAUUUUAGCAUGAAAACCUUUGUAUAUUUAAGGGUAUUUUCUGCUUCACUAUAUACAGUAAAAUUAUUUUAGUAGAUUUUUAAAUAAUUAUUACCCUCCAUACAGAUAUAACAAUUUGCAUUCUCUCCAGUUAGGUAUGAGGGUGCCUAUUUUCCUACAUUUUCAUUAUCGUAAGAGUUCAUUCAUUUAAAACAAUUUGGCAAGAUUUAUAGGAGAAAAAUGGUAUUGUGUCAUAAUUGGUGUUUACUUGACCUCCAAUGAGAUUGUAUUUGAAUCAAGUGUUUUUUAGACAUUUGUAGUCACUGGACCAUGUCUUUCUUUCCUUUUUUUUCAGGGAAGUUUUUUUAAAUUAAUUUUUUGUCUUUUUUAUUUUAUUUAUUUUAUUUUUUAUUUUUGGUGAGGAAGAUUGGCCCUGAGCUAAUACCUGUUGUCAAUCUUCCUCUUUUUGUUUGAGGCAGAUUGUUGCUGAGCUAACAUCUAUGCCAAUCGUCCUCUAUUUUGUUUGUGGGAUGCUGCCACAGCAUGGCUUGAUGAGCAGUGUGUAGGUCAGUGACCAGAAUCUGAAUCUGCGAACCCUGGGCCACCAAACUGGAGUGCAUGAACUUAACCACUACACCACUAGGCUAGCCCCAGGACUAUGUCUUUCUUAUGCUUGUGCUCCUAGUGCCUAGAACAGAGCCUGGCACUUAGUAGCUACUCAUAUAAUUCUGUUUUUAUUUACAUAUUUUUUAUUUAUAUUACUACUCAGAUAAGAUUAUUUCUUCAGUUGGGAAGAUUUAUUAAUUUCCUAAGGAAAUCACGUGAUCAUUUGGAAAGGACUCAACACGGUUGUGUGUGAGGUACAAGCAGGUGUUGAGCAUGGUGAGGAGGAGAUGACGUUUCAGCUAAGACCUGAACAAAGAGGAGAAUUCACCCAGGCAAAAGAGAAGUUGAAGGAACGAGGGAAACUGGCCCAGUAAGAAGAGAGACAAGUGCAAGCUUCUAACAGUAUUAGAGUGUAGAGUCUAGCUAAAGUGUACGGUUUGGGGUGGAUGAGGGUAGAGAGAAUUUAAGCUGCACAGCGAAGCAAGAACCAGAUCAUAAUAGAUUUUUUUUUAACUAUGGAGUUUGAGCUUUAUCUAGAGGACAACUCGAGAAUAUGUAUCAAAAGCUACAAACUAUGUAUUCCCUCAAUUCAAGAAUUCUACAAUGAAAAAUAUGUUAUAAAGAAAUAGAGAUGUAACUAAAAUAAUUAUUGCAUCAUUAAUUAUAGCAUU